UGGGGAAUCUUGCACAAUGGGGGCAACCCUGAUGCAGCGACGCCGCGUGAGCGAUGAAGCCCUUCGGGGCGUAAAGCUCUUUCGGCCGGAACGAUAAUGACGGUACCGGGAGAAGAAGCUGCGGCUAACUACGUGCCAGCAGCCGCGGUAAUACGUAGGCAGCAAGCGUUGUUCGGUGUUACUGGGCGUAAAGAGUGCGUAGGCGGUUUUCUAAGUUCGGUGUGAAAUCUCCCGGCUUAACUGGGAGGGUGCGCCGAAGACUGGGAAGCUGGAGUGUGGGAAAGGCAGGCGGAAUUCCUGGUGUAGCGGUGAAAUGCGUAGAUAUCAGGAGGAACACCGGCGGUGUAGACGGCUUGCUAGACCAUAACUGACGCUGAGGCACGAAAGCGUGGGUAGCAAACA
rnacentral:rRNA from 1 species